rnacentral:lncRNA from 1 species
CAGAAUAAUUUUUGAUUGGAAUCCCUAUUUAAUAUAUAUUUUCAUGUCCAAGUCUAUGUUUCCUGUGAAUUUCGUCCUUUCUUCGCCAAGUGCAUGCUUGUUAUGAAGAUUAGCUUACUAUGACGCUUAAUGAUGAACAUAGUGACGCUUUCGGGACGAAAAUAGCACCCCUAAGUCUAAUUAUAGAACAUGACGCAACGUAUAGAUGAAUCGAAGAGGUGGAAACUUGUCGCGUGGUUAAUCCUUCCUUGGGACAAAUUAACAAUGGCACAGUCCAAGGUGAUGCUCGCACAAACAACCAGUGUGAUGGAUGGAACAAUAAAGUUUUUUCA